rnacentral:rRNA from 1 species
GUAGGUGGCAAGCGUUGUCCGGGAAUUAUUGGGGCGUAAAGCGCGCGCAGACGGUUCUUUAAGUCUGAUGUGAAAGCCCACGGGCUCAACCGUGGAGGGUCAUUGGAAACUGGAGAACUUGAGUACAGAAGAGGAAAGCGGAAUUCCACGUGUAGCGGUGAAAUGCGUAGAGAUGUGGAGGAACACCAGUGGCGAAGGCGGCUUUCUGGUCUGUAACUGACGCUGAGGCGCGAAAGCGUGGGGAGCAAACAGGAUUAGAUACCCUGGUAGUCCACGCCGUAAACGAUGAGUGCUAAGUGUUAGGGGGUUUCCGCCCCUUAGUGCUGCAGCUAACGCAUUAAGCACUCCGCCUGGGGAGUACGGCCGCAAAGGCUG